ACACCGGAUUGGUUUGGCCACCGAUCGGAGGUGUACUUAUCCGGAUGGGUCGUCCUGUGGGGCGGAUGGAUCAGGUCGGUGCAGAUUAGUGACAGGUAGCGCUUGAGGUCUGUGGACCGAUAUAGCAGGCACCAGAUUGGUACAGUUUUGGUUUGUUUACAUUGAGGCAUUCUCGUAUUGUUUCUAUACAGUAGUAGUUUACUUAUUGUUUCUUAUCAUAUCUGUUAUAGCUACUGCAGUUCGUUUUCGUAUAUCAGUAUAUAUAUUCGUUUACCAUAUCUCCCUUGAUUUUCGGUGAUUACGGCUUGCCUUCGUGGCUCUGUCGUACCCACUGAAAAACCUUGAUUAUGGUUUCUCACCCCCUAUUUUCUCAGGUGAUUCGGGCAAGGAGUUGGAUUUUGGGCCCGACGGCAGGCCGUUCUAGCUAGACGGCAGUAGUGAUCGUCACCCUGGUUAUAUUUCUUCUCGCAUUUAGUAGUUGUUAAUAAUAAACGGCUCAGUUAGAUGUUUGAAUGUGUGAUUUUCGUUAUGCAUGAUUAGAGAUUUUGUGGAUCUAUGAUUUUGGUUUUAUGGAUAUUCAGUUUUCGGAUUUGUGUAUUUAAACGGAUUUACGCAUCGUGGUUUUCUACCCCUCGAGGUAGUCGGUUUUCAAAAUAGAGUUUUCGAGUGGAAAAUAAUUUUAAAACGGUUUUCGAAUGGUUUUCAUGAAUGAUUGAAUUAGAGUUUAAAAACAAAGCUUCCGGGUAGGGAGGA
rnacentral:lncRNA from 1 species